UCUCUCUGAAUCUGCGAACGGCUCCGCAAACCAGUUGUACACCGAGGCAGGUUCCCUCGCGGUUCCGCUUCGGUGGGACCGCGGGUUAAUAUAUGGAUAACCGUGGUAAUUCUGAGGCUAAUACAUGACGUACAAAACCUCGCUCUGGGCUUGCCCGGGGCGGGGGGGCGUGCGACUUAAGGCUGGGGUAACAUCCAUGACAGAACGCACGCUCGGACCACCGCUAAGGGUGAGGGGCUUUGGCUCGGAUCCUGGUGGCCCCCGCAAUGUGCUUCUGACCUAUCAACUAGACGGCAGCCUAAGGGACAUGCUUUGGUGACAACGGGUACAGAGGAUAAGGGUUCGAUCCUGGAGAGUGGGCCUGAGAGAUU
rnacentral:rRNA from 1 species